rnacentral:lncRNA from 10 species
UUUCGCUUCCGGGUGGGACGCUUGUCACGUGAGGGUGUUCUGAGUGCCACCUGGUGAAAACGCCCAGAACUGAAGGAUCCGCGCUUCCUUGCACCCAGAACUUAAUGGAGCGUCUGCAGGGAACUUUGCUUUUGCGUGGAACGUCUGAACGUAUUUACAAUCCAGACCUGGUCUGCCCAGUAAGGCAGCCACUAGCCAACGUGGGCUAUUGAUUUAUUAAUUGAUACAUUAAUUUUAAUUAUAUUAAAACAAGCAGUGUGGAAUGCUUUCUCCUUAAACAGGCGUUUUUUUGUUUUGUUGUUUUUUUUUCAGGACCAUAUUUCCCUUUAAAUGCUGAAAAUUUAGUGUGGAAUUGAUAUGUACUGUAUGCAUAAACCACACGCUGGAUGUCUAAGACUGGUGAGCAAGUCUUGACAUCUGGAGGAGUUUCCACCAUCCAAGAAGGAAAAGGCAAAGGUCCACAUGGGAAGCUGGAGGUGAAUGGGAGAGACAGAGGCUGCUCAGAUAGGGGCUUUGGUUUCCUGUCUGCCUGUCAGAGCAGGAGGAGGUGGGCCUUGCAGCACCUUGCAUCUGCGUCACUUCAUUUGUAAGAAGAUGGCUGGAAUGGUGAAAAGCACACAGGUUGGAUAUCCAAAGAAGCAGAUUCUGAGAUGGAGACUAGUGUGCAGGAAGUUUCUUUGAAAGUACUUUUGCAAUCA